rnacentral:rRNA from 1 species
CGGGUGAGUAACACGUGGAUAACCUACCUAUAAGACUGGGAUAACUUCGGGAAACCGGAGCUAAUACCGGAUAAUAUAUUGAACCGCAUGGUUCAAUAGUGAAAGACGGCUUUGCUGUCACUUAUAGAUGGAUCCGCGCCGCAUUAGCUAGUUGGUAAGGUAACGGCUUACCAAGGCAACGAUGCGUAGCCGACCUGAGAGGGUGAUCGGCCACACUGGAACUGAGACACGGUCCAGACUCCUACGGGAGGCAGCAGGC